rnacentral:rRNA from 1 species
GAUGAACGCUGGCGGCGUGCCUAAUACAUGCAAGUCGAGCGAACGGACGAGAAGCUUGCUUCUCUGAUGUUAGCGGCGGACGGGUGAGUAACACGUGGAUAACCUACCUAUAAGACUGGGAUAACUUCGGGAAACCGUAGCUAAUACCGGAUAAUAUUUUGAACCGCAUGGUUCAAAAGUGAAAGACGGUCUUGCUGUCACUUAUAGAUGGAUCCGCGCUGCAUUAGCUAGUUGGUAAGGUAACGGCUUACCAAGGCAACGAUGCAUAGCCGACCUGAGAGGGGGAUCGGCCACACUGGAACUGAGACACGGUACAGACUCCUACGGGAGGCAGCAGUAGGGAAUCUUCCGCAAUGGGCGAAAGCAUGACGGAGCAACGCCGCGUGAGUGAUGAAGGUCUUCGGAUCGUAAAACUCUGUUAUUAGGGAAGAACAUAUGUGUAAGUAACUGUGCACAUCUUGACGGUACCUAAUCAGAAAGCCACGGCUAACUACGUG